ACGGGUGAGUAACGCGUAUCCAACCUGCCCUUUACAACGGGACAGCCCGUCGAAAGGCGGAUUAAUACCGUAUGUUGUCAUGUUGAUGCAUAUUUUCAUGACCAAAGGCUUCGGCCGGUAAAGGAUGGGGAUGCGUCUGAUUAGCUUGCCGGCGGGGUAACGGCCCACCGGGGCGACGAUCAGUAGGGGUUCUGAGAGGAAGGUCCCCCACAUUGGAACUGAGACACGGUCCAAACUCCUACGGGAGGCAGCAGUGAGGAAUAUUGGUCAAUGGGCGCGAGCCUGAACCAGCCAAGUAGCGUGCAGGACGACGGCCCUAUGGGUUGUAAACUGCUUUUAUACGGGGAUAAAGUAUGCCACGUGUGGUUUAUUGCAGGUACCGUAUGAAUAAGGACCGGCUAAUUCCGUGCCAGCAGCCGCGGUAAUACGGAAGGUCCGGGCGUUAUCCGGAUUUAUUGGGUUUAAAGGGAGCGUAGGCCGGGUUUUAAGCGUGCCGUGAAAUGUCGGGGCUCAACCUUGACACUGCGGCGCGAACUGGAGUCCUUGAGUGCGCGGAACGUAUGCGGAAUUCGUGGUGUAGCGGUGAAAUGCUUAGAUAUCACGAAGAACCCCGAUUGCGAAGGCAGCAUACGGCAGCGCUACUGACGCUGAAGCUCGAAGGCGCGGGUAUCGAACAGGAUUAGAUACCCUGGUAGUCCGCGCGGUAAACGAUGGAUGCCCGCUGUUGGCG
rnacentral:rRNA from 1 species